CAGAAACACCCUUUUACACAAACGGAUAUUCUAAAUAAACCGGUUCCUCUCACCUGGGUCAUCUCUACAACCCGAUUACCCGAUAAAGCUCUGUAAUGCAGCACCUCGUAAUCCAAAUUCCACGUUUACGUCCUCUCCCGCCGUCCACACAAUGCCUCUUUCCGGCAACAAUGAGUUCGUCUCCGUCGGUUUUCACGGCGAAGCCUCUCAGUCUCCGGCAAUUCAACUCGCCAGAGCUAAUAACCAACAGCAAGAGUGUAAAACUUCGGUUCAUUAGAUGUAUGGCGAAUCCUCGGAGAGUUAAAAUGGUGGCUAAACAGAUACAAAGAGAGCUCUCCGACAUGUUGCUUACGGAUAAGGUGUUACAAUACGCUGUUCUACCUGAAGCUGCUCUUGGUGCGGAUCGAUACCUCUCUUCGCUUACUACUAUCAGUGAUGUUGAAGUUUCAACGGAUUUGCAGGUUGUAAAGGUCUAUGUCUCUGUGUUUGGAGACGAAAGAGGUAAGGAAGUGGCUUUAUCUGGCUUGAAGUCAAAAGCAAAAUAUGUAAGGAGUGAGCUAGGGAGGCGAAUGAAGUUGCGACUAACUCCCGAGAUUCGUUUCAUUGAAGAUGAGUCCCUUGAACGAGGAAGCAGAGUACUUGCUAUAUUGGACAGGAUUAAGGAUGAGACUGAGAACAAGAAUGCACCAUCCGGAGCUUCCGAUAUCAAUGACCAAAGCGAUGAUGAUGGGGAUUGGGAGGUUGACGACCCUGAUGAUGAAGGCAUUAUUUAUGUGAAAUAGCUCUCACUACUGCUCUCUAAAAUACGCUGACUUUGGACUAGUCAAAAGAUGUGUUGCAUAGUGAUAUGAUUGCUAUUAUGUUUACAGGGUGGAGGUGUUUCCUCAGUGAUGCAAAGAACAUUUGUGCAGGUCCCAAAUUGUGGAAACCUUAUUGAACCGUGUUCAGAACUGUCUUGCUAGUUUCUUUUCUUGUUUCAUGUAUAAUUCAUGUCUGAUAACACGAAUCAGUUUAAGUAGUAUUACUUGGCCUUUCCAUGCACGAGCUCUGCCUUUGCCUCUCCAUUUCAACUUAAGCAAGUUUACUAGUUGGUUUAGUCUGUUUUUUAUUC